rnacentral:tRNA from 1 species
GUUUUUAUAAUUUAAAUAUAAAAUAUUGGUCUUGUAAACCAAACAUAAGGAAACUUUAAAAACUUC